GCUGGGCAUGGUGGCACGUGCCUGUAGUCCCAGCUACUUGGGAGGCUGAGGUGGGAGGAUUGCUUGAGCCCAGGUGGUCGGGGCUGCAGUGAGCUAUGAUUGCACCACUGCACUCCAGCCUGGGUGACAGAGUGAGACCCUGUCUAAU
ensembl:misc_RNA Metazoa_SRP Metazoan signal recognition particle RNA